rnacentral:lncRNA from 1 species
CUUCCUGCUAUGUUUCGGCGCGCUCCCAAAUCCGACGAGUUUGGGGUAGUUGGGGGCUGCUUUGGUUUUUUCCUCCUGUCUCCUUAAAGCUCAGUUACUUUAUUUUAAAAGUCCUGAUACGAUAGUCAUCCUGGAGGAUUCUCUUAAACUCAGGACGCGCAUCGGUCUGUCCGACCUUCCCGGCAAGAGACAAAGUCACUGCUGGGAGGCCCCCUCGGACAGUUUUCAGUUUUAACUUUCGCCUUAUUCUCGUCUUGUCUUGAUGUCACGGCCCUGAGGAACAGCUCGUUCUGCAGAAGAGAAUAAAGAAAAUUCGUUUAAAUAAUGAGGAAAAUGAGCGUUCCUGUCGUUCUCCCUCCACUCUUGACCGUGCGUCUCUGCGUUGCUCUUUCGAACCUCCAGGCCGGCGGGAAUCUGGGCGCGCAGACUCGGCCCGGGUCGUCGCGGCCUCAGGACGCAGCCCAUUCCGCCUGGCACGACUACUGGGCCGCGUCUUGUCAGUCUAUCAGCUUCUGAGCCCAGGAAUGGGGGUGGGGGAAGGACGGUGCGACUAACGGGCCCCCACCCGAAGACCGCAGAACCUGGCGCCCCGGAAGAGCCCUGGAAGAUGCCCACCGGGAGGCUGAGGCUGGAGGGAGGAGUGGGUGGGGGUGAUUCGCUGGAGGACCGGGCGGAGAGCUUCCAGAAAGUUCACCAGGCCCCGGCGCGAGGGCGCUCCGACACGGACAAGGUCUAUGAUAGCGAUAAAAAGCUGGUUACUCGCUCCCAGAAAA